rnacentral:misc_RNA from 1 species
AACUGAUACUACCUGCGGGAACCUGCGGAAGGAUCAUUAUUGAAUAAACUUGGUUAGGUUGUUGCUGGCUCCUAGGAGCAUGUGCACGCCGACUCCAUUUUUAACCACCUGUGCACCUUGCGUAGAUCUGAUACUCUCGAGGAAACUCGGUUUGAGAAUUGCUGUGCGUCAGCCAGCUCUUCUUGUAAUCAGGUCUAUGUUUCUAUAUACCCCAUAUGAAUGUAUUCAGAAUGUCGUAAC